GUUUAGAGCUGAACACCCGGUUAGGAGGCGGGGCUGGUGGGUCAGAAGUGGCGGGGGGGGGGGGGGGGGGGGGGGGGGGGGGGGGGGGGGGGGGGGGGGUCGCUGGGGGCGUGGCCGGGGGUGCGUCUCCCUCCCAACUGGCUGCCCUGAGGUGAGCCUGUUGCUUCCACCUGACUCUUCCACCGUACAGUUUCUGUGUUUGACCCUGGAGAAUGUGGACUGAAACUUCUAAAAUAUGACCAAAAUAAACCUCUCCAAGUUGCUGGAGGAGAGUGACUAAGACAGCAAAAAGAAAAAGCAGUGCUCACAUUAUCUAAGAAGCCAAGGUCAGCUGAAGGAGACUUACCUGCCCCCAGCAUGGUGUCUAGGGUCCAAUCCUUCUCUCCAUGAAAGGCAGAAGGAACGACACGUGCAAAUGCUCAAGCAGGAGCAUCCCGGCCUGUUUACCCAACACCAAGGUGCCUGAAGCCUAUGUGUGAGGAGGGUCUACAACAUGACACACGUGAUAGGACCUUGCAUGGAGUCCUGUGUAAACUAGAGACUUGCACCUUUCAUUCUGAGUUAAGAUGGGAAGCCACUGGCAGAGGGUGCUUUGGUGGACAAGUUAAAGAAAAUAAGAAUCAGAAGAAGUAA
rnacentral:lncRNA from 1 species